rfam:Aedes albopictus isolate Foshan contig139113, whole genome shotgun sequence.
UGUUCUGUGGCUUAGUUGGUUAAAACACCGGUCUAGCAAAUACAAAGUCGUGGGUUCAAAUCCCACCAGAAUGC